rnacentral:misc_RNA from 1 species
GGGUUGACACUCGAUCAUUCUGGAAUAAUUCUGGGUUAAUUCUGGAAUGAACGGAAUGACGAUGAUGAUUCUAGCAAAAAUGAUCAAGUGCGGGUAAGAGUGUAACUGUCAUAAUAUUUAUCUUUUCAAACCAAAACAUGUUGCGGUGCUCUGCAGCAUUGGGUAGGACAACAGAACCGGCGGUUGUGCUGUACUGUUUCGGUGCGUUCGGUGCCGGCGACAUCCAGAGCAACGGCCGGAUUGGCCUUCACUGGAAUCUGACCGAGCUGCAAAAUCCAGGUGUUGGCUACAAGACGAGUAUCUUAGAUGGACCAGCUACGUACCGGCGAGGCCAACGUGCUGAUUAUUCCGGUGGAGGUUGGCUAGUGAAUCCAAGGGCAGGCUCGAAUGCGGAACUGAAUCUGUUGGGGGACUUUUUUGGGCCGUCGAUAGCGAGGGAAGCGACUGAACUGUGGUAGCGGAGAUCCCUCGGACGAGUCGGAAGAGGAGCUCGUGAGGUGGCUGAUGCCGACGGGCAGGACUUUUUCGGUGAUAUGAAGAUCAACAAGGAGGAUGAGCGGGAGAUGUUUCAAAACAAGAACGGCGUAAAGACAUGCAUGCCAGCCGAGAUCGUUAUGGACUAAAUCACCGAAAAACAAACGGGAAUUCAGACGCAGUUUUCCUACAAUGGUUCGCUCAAGAUGGAAGAUUUCGACUAAUGGAUUCUAGAAAUAUAUAAAGCUCCUGCGACGUGCUGAGGCGCUACCUAAGUGGGCGUGUUACGAAUCUUUUCAAUACGGAAUCACACAACUUAUGUGCAGCUGCCAUGUUCCAAGCGAAUUGGACAUUUUCCGGCCGCACCCAGUACAUUUCCCAACGGUUCUAAAAUUUGCCGCGCGUUUUCCACGGCCUGGCCAAGUACAACACAACUUCUCUCCGUACAAGAUUUUUAAGUGAGACUUAUUCAAACUGGCCGCCCAGUCGAAGGCCAUUAUCCUGCCGCUGCGAGAGUCUGGCGAUUGAACGAUCCGCGAGGCCAUCAUCUUAGGCAGUCACCUUCAGCUCGACGAACAUUCCGGUACUUCAGUGUUCACACCUCAGACAGUAAUUUCGUGGACCAGUUCCGCAAUUGCCUGGUCAACUUGCUGGUCGUU